AUUGCACGCUGGCGGCAGGCCUAACACCUGCAAGUCUGGCGAGCUGCGGACUGUUGUGUAAUGUAUGGGGAUCUGCCUGAUGAAGGUGGAUAACUCCUGGAAACGGUCGCUAAUACCGCAUCCCAUCAGCUGAACCCAUAUGGGAUUAGCUAGUAGGUGAGGUAACGGCUCACCUAGGCGACGAUCCCUAGCUGGUCUGAGAGGAUGAUCAGCCACACUGGGACUGAGACACGGCCCAGACUCCUACGGGAGGCAGCAGUGGGGAAUAUUGCACAAUGGGCGCAAGCCUGAUGCAGCCAUGCCGCGUGUAUGAAGAAGGCCUUCGGGUUGUAAAGUACUUUCAGUCGGGAGGCGUUACCGACAGAAGAAGCACCGGCUAACUCCGUGCCAGCAGCCGCGGUAAUAC
rnacentral:rRNA from 1 species